AUAAAUUACCAAACCAUUCAUUUCAGACCCUAAGAAGCCACACUUAAGGACAAUUAACUAAUUGAUUAAGCAGUGAACCUAUCAUACUGCUGACUACUAAAGAAUUUUAAAGGGAUGGAAAUAAGGUUUUAUAAUCUCCUGCUAUUACCUCCUAAAUAAAGAUCAUUGUCUCCAAGUUUUAACACCAUAAUUUGUUCCCCCUGACCCAAGCACAUUCUGAGCUCC
rnacentral:lncRNA from 1 species